CCGUGCCCACGCCUCCCCUCAGGGCCGGGUUUGCAACAGAACAGCGCGCUCGGCUCGGCUUGGAUGCUCUAACCGUGUUUCCCUCGCGACCUGACCGGUUUCUCACCCCCACAAACACCCUCGCAACAAUUUGCCAGAUCCCUCUGUACCCGGCUGCUUCAGCAGGAUAAAUGGAUGGAAGAAAAAAUCACCAUUCGCUUGAGAACACUAUCAACUUCUCCUGCAACACCCAAAAUCACGUGGAUAGCAAGAUUAUCCCAAGAGGGAUGGAUAACCAGGUGAAUUCUACUUGCUGCUGCCGCUGCUGGGGAAAGACAAGGGAGGAAGGAAGGGGGGCAGUGUUUCCCUGUUAUAAAAGCUGGUGAGUGUCAGUAAACUUUAUAUAAAGUAGUAAACUAAGCCAGUAUAUAGUAAUAACCCUGUGACAAGUCUAAACUUUUUUUCAGGUUGCCCAGGGAAGUUGUGGCUGCCCCAUCCCUGGAAGUGUCCAAGGCCAGGUUGGACAGGGCUUGGAGCAACCUGGGACAGUGGAAGGUGACCCUCCCCAUGGCAGGGGGUGAAACAAGCCUGUACCAUACACUGCUGAAGAGAUUUCCUUCGUCCCACCUCUUCAAUAUUUAGGAACUAAUGUUUUGCAGAGUCCCAGAAAGAUCUGCAGCAGUUCCCAACUCAAGCGAGACAACGGAGACUUCUUGCACACAAGAAAUACUUUAGCAAAAAUGUAACUUGAAAGGUAAUAAUCUUUGAUUUAUUUUAAUAGAAUUAAUUUGUAUAAACCAUCAUAAUGGUCUUUUUUCAUAUAUUGAUAUUUGAAAAGACUCAAUCCUUUCAACUCCUCAUAAAUCUCUUCAUACCUUCAAUUACAUUCACUGUCCCCAGCUAAAAAUAAACCUGAAACUUUGUGAAUGUGUAACAUGUAAUGUAGCAAAAAACAAUUAGGCUCUUUUAAAAGCUAGAUUUUACCUAUUAUUGGCAAUUUAUCAUCAUCCAGCCUUAUUUCUGCAAGACCAUCCUAAAAUACAGUGGGAUUUAAAGUUUCAGAAGUUAGAGUUAUCCAGUUAGGGUAAUGCACUGAGAUUUCGUGUUUUUACUUAAUACAUAAUCAUAAACUAGUACAUAUAUUGAUAAAGAAUCUUCCUUGGCAUAACAAAUAGGA